rnacentral:tRNA from 1 species
CAUCGUUGCCGGCGCCGUAAAGCCGGGCGAUGCCAUCGUCGUGGCGCAGUCGGGACAGGCUGCCAAUGUUGAGCGGAUCGUGACCGCUGACGGUGAC